rnacentral:rRNA from 1 species
UAGGGAAUCUUCCACAAUGGACGCAAGUCUGAUGGAGCAACGCCGCGUGAGUGAAGAAGGUUUUCGGAUCGUAAAGCUCUGUUGUUGGUGAAGAAGGAUAGAGGCAGUAACUGGUCUUUAUUUGACGGUAAUCAACCAGAAAGUCACGGCUAACUACGUGCCAGCAGCCGCGGUAAUACGUAGGUGGCAAGCGUUGUCCGGAUUUAUUGGGCGUAAAGCGAGCGCAGGCGGAAUGAUAAGUCUGAUGUGAAAGCCCACGGCUCAACCGUGGAACUGCAUCGGAAACUGUCAUUCUUGAGUGCAGAAGAGGAGAGUGGAAUUCCAUGUGUAGCGGUGGAAUGCGUAGAUAUAUGGAAGAACACCAGUGGUGAAGGCGGCUCUCUGGUCUGCAACUGACGCUGAGGCUCGAAAGCAUGGGUAGCGAACAGG